rnacentral:rRNA from 1 species
AUUGAACGCUGGCGGCAGGCCUAACACAUGCAAGUCGAGCGAGUGGCGGACGGGUGAGUAAUGUAUGGGGAUCUGCCCGAUAGUGGGGGAUAACUACUGGAAACGGUGGCUAAUACCGCAUACUAUUGGAUGAACCCAUAUGGGCUUAGCUAGUAGGUGGGGUAAAGGCUCACCUAGGCGACGAUCUCUAGCUGGUCUGAGAGGAUGAUCGGCCACACUGGGACUGAGACACGUCCCAUACUCCUACGGUAGGCAGCAGUGGGGAAUAUUGAACAAUGGGGGCAAGCCUGAUGCAGCCAUGCCGCGUGUAUGAAGAAGGCCUUAGGGUUGUAAAGUACUUUCAGCGGGGAGGCGUUACCCGCAGAAGAAGCACCGGCUAACUCCGUGCCAGUAGCCGCGGUAAUUC